UUAAUUAGGGAAUUAUUGUUAUUUUUAGUUUGUGUGUAUUUAAUAGAAGUAAUUUUAUUUUUAGUAAUUUUUGUUGAAUGAGUUCUUAAAAUGAUAGUUAAUAGUACUGUGAGGGAAUUUUUUUAUUUUAUUUAAAGUAGUUCUUAUUUAAUGUACCUUUUGUAUCAGGGUUGAUUAAAUUUUUUUAUUUAUUUAUAUUUCCCGAAGUCAGGAGAGAUAAAAUAAUAUGUGAUUCAGUGUUGUAUCAUUGUUUUUAAUAUUAUUUUGGUAAUGAUAUGUUAUUCGUUCUUGAAUAUCUGGUUUUUCUAGAAGUGAAUUGGAUUCUAUCUUGUUUAUGUAAUUAUGUUUAUUUUAUUAUUUAGUUGAUGCAGGUUUAAUAUUGUUGGGGAUAAGCUCAGCAAUAAUAUUAUAACUCUAUUUAUUUUGAAAUUUUGUAGGCCUGAAAACAGUCAUCAUGAAUUCCGUUAUAGGGUAUUUUUUUAUUUGUUUUAUUUUGUAUUGAGUUUAGAUUUUUAUGGAAAUUAAUUAGUUAAUUGUUUCUUUUUUGGGAUAAUGAUUAAAUUAGUAUCAUAUAUAUUUAUAUUAUAGGAAUUCGGCAAAAGUGUAUUCGCCUGUUUAACAAAAACAUGUCCUUUUGAUUAUUUAUUUAAGGUCUAGUCUGCCCAAUGAUGGUUGUGAAUGGCCGCGGUAUUUUAACUGUGCUAAGGUAGCAUAAUCAAUUGUCUCUUAAUUAGGGGCUAGUAUGAAAGGCUGGACGAGAUACAUGCUGUCUUUAAUAUAAUGUGUGAAUUUAAUUUUUUGGUUAAAAAGCCAAAGUUCUUUUAAAGGACGAGAAGACCCUAUAGAUCUUUAUAGGAUUGUUUAUUAGAGAGUUUAGUAAGUUUAAUCUUUUGAUGGUUAAUUUUAUUUUGUUGGGGUGACCGUAGAAUUUUCUUAACUUCUAUUUUUUUAUUUCAUUAAUUUAUGUUUUUGUGAUCCAUUUUUAUUGAUUGUAAGAUUAAGUUACCUUAGGGAUAACAGCGUAAUUUCUUUAGAAAGUUCAUAUUGAUGAAGAAGUUUGCGACCUCGAUGUUGGAUUAAAAUAAGUAGUGUGGUGCAGUAGUCUUUUAACUAGGUCUGUUCGACCUUUAAUUUUUUACAUGAUCUGAGUUCAGACCGGCGUGAGCCAGGUCAGUUUCUAUCCUUAAUUUUUUAUUGUUUUUCAGUACGAAAGGACCGGGAACGGGGAAUAGUUUUUUUUAUUUUGAUUUAUAUU
rnacentral:rRNA from 1 species